GAAAUGCGAUAAGUAGUGUGAAUUGCAGAUACCGUGAAUCAUCGAAUCUUUGAACGCACAUUGCACUGUCUGGAACUCCGGAUAGUAUGCCUGUUUGAGUAUCGGCAACCCACUCCGCUGGCAGUCCUACUACGGGCUGCGACGGCGAGGACUUGGGCCGACUCCGCUCUUUGGAGUGGCGCGGCCUGAAAUGCAUUGCUGGCCUGGGAGUUGAGCAAUCAAUGACCACCGUUGACACAUGCCAACAGAGUUAAACGGCGUUUCACGACGUCCUGACGCUGGGGGUGUUUGGCAACGGCAUAGGCGUAGUUACUUGAACACAAUACUUGGGUACCAGCACAACUCCCUUGCGGAGUUGUGCACAGGGCCUUUGUGAUUUUGAUCUCAAAUCAGGCAAGAC
rnacentral:misc_RNA from 1 species